GUGUCAGCAGCCGCGGUAAUACGUAGGGUGCGAGCGUUAAUCGGAAUUACUGGGCGUAAAGAGUGCGUAGGCGGUCCCGCAAGUCCGCUGUGAAAGCCCCGGGCUUAACCUGGGAAUGGCAGUGGAAACUAUGGGACUUGAAUCUGGCAGAGGGGGGUGGAAUGCCACGUGUAGCAGUGAAAUGCGUAGAGAUGUGGCGGAACACCGAUGGCGAAGGCAGCCCCCUGGGCUGAGAUUGACGCUCAGGCACGAAAGCGUGGGGAGCAAACAGGAUUAGAUACCCUGGUAGUCCACGCCCUAAACGAUGACAACUAGGUGUUGGGGAAGCGAUUUCUCAGUACCGCAGCUAACGCGUGAAGUUGUCCGCCUGGGGAGUACGGUCGCAAGAUUAAA
rnacentral:rRNA from 1 species